UACGUAGGGUGCAAGCGUUGUCCGGAAUUAUUGGGCGUAAAGAGCUCGUAGGCGGUCCGUCACGUCGGCUGUGAAAACCCGGGGCUCAACUCCGGGCCUGCAGUCGAUACGGGCGGACUAGAGUACUGCAGGGGAGACUGGAAUUCCCGGUGUAGCGGUGAAAUGCGUAGAGAUCGGGAGGAACACCAGAGGCGACAGCGGCGACCUGGACAGGUACUGACACUCAACUACGAAAGCGUGGGGAGCAAACAGG
rnacentral:rRNA from 1 species